UACGGAGGGGGGCUAGCGUUGUUCGGAAUUACUGGGCGUAAAGCGCACGUAGGCGGAUAUUUAAGUCAGGGGUGAAAUCCCGGGGCUCAACCCCGGAACUGCCUUUGAUACUGGGUAUCUAGAGUCCGGAAGAGGUGAGUGGAAUUCCGAGUGUAGAGGUGAAAUUCGUAGAUAUUCGGAGGAACACCAGUGGCGAAGGCGGCUCACUGGUCCAUUACUGACGCUGAGGUGCGAAAGCGUGGGGAGCAAACAGG
rnacentral:rRNA from 1 species